GACGAACGCUGGCGGCGUGCCUAAUACAUGCAAGUAGGACGCACAGUCUAUACCGUAGCUUGCUACACCAUAGGCUGUGAGUUGCGAACGGGUUAGUAACGCGUAGGUAACCUGCCUAUUAGAGGGAGAUAACUAUUGGAAACGAUAGCUAAUACCGCAUAACAGUAUGUAACACAUGUUAGAUGCUUGAAAGAUGCAAUUGCAUCGCUAGUAGAUGGACCUGCGUUGUAUUGGCUAGUAGGGAGGGUAAUGGCCUACCUAGGCGACGAUACAUAGCCGACCUGAGAGGGUGGUCGGCCGCACUGGGGCUGGGACAGGGCCCAGCGUCCUACGGGAGGCAGCAGUAGGGAAUCUUCGGCAAUGGGGGGAACCCUGACCGAGCAACGCCGCGUGAGUGGCGAAGGUUUUCGGAUCGUAAAGCUCUGUUGUUAAGGAAGAACGGGUGUGAGAAUGGAAAGUUCAUACUGUGACGGUACUUAACCAGAAAGGAACGGCUAACUACGUG
rnacentral:rRNA from 1 species